rnacentral:lncRNA from 1 species
AGAGAUGACAGAAAAAGCAAAAAACGCAGAAAAAUAAGAGGGGGGCGUCAGAAAGAGAACGAAAAAGGGAGGGGAGAGAGAAUAACGAGCUGCUGCUUCGUCGUCUUCUCCCUCACGUCCAAACGACCUCCUCCUUACGUAAAAACGACCCCUUCUGCUUCUGCUUUCGUCAACCACGAACAGCCACAGCAACAGCCUUCACCCCUGUUUCCCGUCGUCAAUACCACCCCAAAAGACGACCAGGACUGCCUGAAACCGGCGACCACCAGCAAUCCGCCACUCCAGCCACAGUCGUCUUCUCCACCAUCGCCAGUCGACCAUCCAACUCCCACGCCCAGCUCCUUCACGUAACAGCCACCCAACGAACCAGCGUCCAUCGUCCCCAGCUUAGUCAUCGACCAACCAAAACUCCAUAGCUGCUGCGUCGUCAAUCACCAGCCAUCGACACCCCCUCAAACGACCACCAUCUCCACCUUCCUCCUUCAACCAUAAUACACCCAAAAAUCCAUUAACGACCCCCACGUCGUCUUCUCCUUCGAAGGCUGUUUUCUUCGAGUCAGGAUAGUCGAGCCGAGCAACAAAACUCCGUCGAAAUCCGGUGGAGCUUCUCGUGGAGGUUCUGUUCGAGUUUUCUCCGGUGCGGUCGUAGUCAUUUGGUUGAGCUUAGUUGCUGACUUAUUUCAACUAUCGUGUACAUGGAUGGGUUUCAUCCGUAAAUUAAAAUCAAGCUUCGAUACUUGAGGUGCAAUUCCCUUCGUUCCUUAUUGUCUCAAUUACUUGGUUAAUUUCAUAUUUGUUUAAGUAUAUGAACACUGCCUCUAUGUUGCUGAUUUAAGCAUUUUGGACAAAUUUAUUAUUGGG